AGGACUAACGCUGGCGGCGUGCCUAACACAUGCAAGUCGAACGAGGGGUAGCAAUACCCCUAGUGGCAGACGGGUGAGUAACACGUAGUCAACCUACCUCUUAAUGGGGGAUAACUAGCCGAAAGGUUAGCUAAUACCGCAUACGAUCGUCGAGUGGCAUCACACGACGAUGAAAGGAGCAAUCCGUUGAGAGAGGGGACUGCGUCCCAUUAGUUAGUUGGUGGGGUAAUGGCCUACCAAGACUCCGAUGGGUAGCUGGCUUGAGAGAGCGACCAGCCACACUGGAACUGAGACACGGUCCAGACUCCUACGGGAGGCAGCAGUGAGGAAUUUUUCCGCAAUGGGGGAAACCCUGACGGAGCGACGCCGCGUGUGGGAAGAAGGCCUUCGGGUCGUAAACCACUGUCGAGGGGGACGAUAUUGACGGUACCCCUGGAGGAAGCCCGGCUAACUACGCGCCAGCAGCCGC
rnacentral:rRNA from 1 species